AUGCUUUCUUUCAAGUGUCUCCUUUGCGGUUAUCCAAAAUUAUUUCUUCUUCAUAACUUAGAAAUUUUUAAGACUGAAUUAUUGCAAUUUUCUACUGACUUCAAGUUUCCUCAAACUUGUAUUUAUUCCCAAAUAAAUAGGUCUUUAUCCCCAAACCUGUAUUUCUAAGUAUUUCCAAUAUUCUUGAAGAGUGUACUCUCCUGGUGAUUAUUAUACUGAAUGAUAGUUCCUCCAGUAUUUCCCAAAAGCAAAGGUAAUAGAUGUCCCUCAUGGUAUUGGAGAAAAGUAAUAUCUGUCCCUAUACACAAAGAAUAGCAUUCCCCCCUGUCAAGCACUGGGCCCAAAGCACCUGCUUGUCCAGUCUCCUUGGUACCAGAGACAUUUUGAAGAUGAGAUUAGCCUGAAGAUAUUAUGAGACAGCUUCUGGGAGGAACCAGGAUGUUCUUCUUGCUCUAAGUGGCUUGGAAAAGGGUGAGCCCUCUGGAGAGCAGGACUCAACCUACAUGUUUUGUUGUGAAGAUAACAAAGUCUGUCACAACACCUUUAAACUGGGUUAUUUUCAUUCCACCCAAACAUAUUAUAACCAAAAGCAGAUUCAUUUCUGCUUCGGAUUUGUAUUUUCCAGGCCCCCUACAUUUUGUUAUGAUUUACUGAGAUAAAAAUCAGAGAUACAAAUACCUGAUACUCCCUUCUUUAUAAGAUUAAGACUAUGACUCAAUGAUUUAAUGCCAACAACUACUGCAAUGAUACACAAGGUACUUUCAGAAUAACAAUAAUAUCUUACACUUGUAUCACAUUUCAUAUUUCACAUUCAUUAUUUCAUAGUGUGUUGUUUCUGUGUGAUGGUAUUGUUAAAUUUUUGGAAAAUAUGUCAUUUCAUGUUGCCAAUAUUUUAUUUAAUGCAGGUUUAAUUCAACCAGCAAUAAGUGAACACCUACUAUCUUCCAAACUCAUGUCAUAUUCUAAACACAUUUACUAAAGUUGACCAAAAUGUUUUGCCAUCAUAACCUUAGACAAAUGGAUCCAUUAUAUCACAAACCUAAUGUCUAUUACAUUAAUAAACUAUACUUUCCUGUAUGACAUUUUCAGUAAAAGAGGUUAGGAACAUACCUAAAUCAAGCAAGCUUUGGACGACUGAGAUUUUCCUUGGAUAUGGCUCUAUAAACCGGGGUGAGCUUACAAACAUUUUCUCCUUGAAAGUAACUGCCCACUUUAAAUCACCAAAUAUGUCAUAGAAGAUCCCCAAUGUCAUGUUCAAUGUAGAUUAGCCAAAACAUAUAGCAAAAAGGGACAAGCAACAAAGGUUUUCUUUACACAAGGGAGUAUGCUCCCCUGAUACUUUGGGUUUGCAUUAAUCUGCGGAUGAUUCCCACAGCCAGAAGCUAUCCUUACGUGCCCUCAGCUUUUACAACUACUUGCUGCCCACUCUUCUUGUUCCACAGUCACGCCUUAAGGUCUUUCAGCCAACUUUUGUCUCCCAGUUGACUUUUUCCCUGGAAUACACCCUAGUCUCAUCUUUUUCUCCUAGAUAAUCUGCUCCUCUCCAUAGACAAUAUGUCCAAACAACAGCAAUUUGUAUUCCAUGACUUUUCCAACACCCACACACCCUCUUAAAUGGAUGUUUUACUCAUACAAUCAUGAUGCUUUUGUUUCCACAAUAUUCUCUGUAUUGGAGAGUCUAGAGAACAGUGUCCUGGUUUUAAAUCGUGGACUUAAGAGCUAAGGAUUAUUGGAUGCUUGCCUUGUGCUAGGUGUCAUGAUAAGACUCUCAUUUAAGCUCCAUUACAAUUUUUGGAGGUCUUUAUUACUCUCACAUUUUGGAUAAAGAAAUAUCCCCAGACAGUUCAAUGACUUGCCCAAAUGGCUUGCUCAUGGUGGGGCAAAAAUAGAUUUUAACCUACAUCUUACAGAUUCAGCAUCAAUUAUGGUACAGCCAGGAGGAAAAUGCCUGUGCUAGUGAUUCAAUAGAGGAAGUUUAUGAUGGGCUAUCUGUCAUAAAGGCAUGAGAAGAGCCCCAAAAGUUAACAUUAUAGGGGAGGCAACCAGGAAUUUCCAACAACAAGAGUCUGUCAUCAUCCAGGGCUAGUUGGACAAAAGGAAGGAGUGAUAGAACCAGAGGUCAGGAACUGAAAUCAUGGUAGAUGUUGGAAGCCAGCAAAC
ensembl:lncRNA